rnacentral:rRNA from 1 species
UUAAGCUAUAAAGAGCACAGGGUGGAUGCCUAGGCACUGAGAGCCGAUGAAGGACGUGAUAAGCUGCGAAAAGCCACGGGGAGGAGCAAAUAUCCUUUGAGCCGUGGAUAUCCGAAUGGGGGAACCCACUUAAGUAAACCUUAAGUACUGACAAGCCAAUACAUAACUUGCCAGAGGGAACCCGGGGAACUGAAACAUCUAAGUACCCGGAGGAAGAGAAAGAAACAUCGAUUUCCUUAGUAGCGGCGAGCGAAAGGGAAAGAGCCCAAACCGAGAGAUUUAUCUUUCGGGGUUAGGACUGCAUAAUUGAUCUGCGAUUGAUAGGAGAAUGGUCUGGGAAGUCCAGCAGGAAAGCGUGAAAGCCGCGUAUCCGAAAUUGAAAGCAGCAAGGCAGUAUCCAGAGUACCACGAGACACGAGGAACCUUGUGGGAAUGAGCGGAGACCACUCCGUAAGGCUAAAUACUACUCAGUGACCGAUAGCGCAUAGUACUGUGAAGGAAAGGUGAAAAGGACCCCGGGAGGGGAGUGAAAGAGAACCUGAAACCCUGUGUUUACAAGCUGUGGGACAUCUUUACAUGAUGAACCGCGUACUUUUUGUAGAACGGUCCGGCGAGUUGCGGAUGCCGGCAAGGUUAAGCACUUAAGGUGUGGAGCCGAAGGGAAACCAAGUCUGAAGAGGGCGCAUAUAGUCAGUAUCCGCAGACCCGAAACCGGGUGAUCUACCCAUGUCCAGGUUGAAGUUGCCGUAAAAGGCAAUGGAGGACCGAACGCACAUCCGUUGAAAAGGGUGGCGAUGAGGUGUGGGUAGGGGAGAAAUUCCAAUCGAACCCGGAGAUAGCUGGUUCUCCUCGAAAUAGCUUUAGGGCUAGCCUCGUUUUAGUCUUAUGGAGGUAGAGCACUGAAUUUCCGCGGGGGCGUCAAAGCUUACCAAAGAAUAUCAAACUCCGAAUGCCAUGUAGAUGAUGAACGGGAGUCAGACUGCACGAGAUAAGUUGGGCAGUCAAAAGGGAAAGAGCCCAGACCGCCAGCCAAGGUCCCAAAGUGUGUGUUAAGUGGAAAAGGAUGUGGGAUCUCCAAGACAACUAGGAUGUUGGCUCAGAAGCAGCCACACAUUCAAAGAGUGCGUAACAGCUCACUAGUCGAGAGGUCCUGCGCCGAAAAUGUCCGGGGCUGAAACACAACACCGAAGCUGCGGAAUUGCGAAUGCAAUUGGUAGAGGAGCAUUCUUAAUACCGACGAAGCUGUACCGGAAGGAGCAGUGGAGGGAUAAGAAGAGAGAAUGCCGGAAUGAGUAGCGAGAGAGAGGUGGGAAUCCUCUCGGCCGAAUAUCCAAGGUUUCCAGAGUAAAGCUGAUCUGCUCUGGGUAAGUCGGGGCCUAAGGCGAGGUCAAGAGACGUAGCCGAUGGACAACAGGUUUAGAUUCCUGUACCGCAUAUAAACAGAACUGUGGGGACGCAUGGGGAGAGCAUGGGCCGGGAAUGGAAAUACCGGUGCAAGCGAAGGAGGUGUGCAGCCGGCAAAUCCGCUGCAUGAGCCGAAAGCGUGACGCGGAGCGAAAUGAAAGUAGCGAAGCAUGUGAGCCCUGUGCCGAGAAAAGCCGCUAUUGUUUUAUAUGUGCCCGUACCGUAAACCGACACAGGUGGAUGAGGAGAGAAUCCUAAGGCCGGCGGAAGAAGUAUUGUUAAGGAACUCGGCAAAAUGACCCCGUAACUUCGGGAGAAGGGGUGCCCAUGAAAGUGGGCCGCAGAGAAUAGGCUCAAGCAACUGUUUAGCAAAAACACAGGUCUAUGCGAAACCGAAAGGUGAAGUAUAUGGGCUGACGCCUGCCCGGUGCUGGAAGGUUAAGAGGAGAGGUUAGCGCAAGCGAAGCUUUGAAUUUAAGCCCCAGUAAACGGCGGCCGUAACUAUAACGGUCCUAAGGUAGCGAAAUUCCUUGUCGGGUAAGUUCCGACCC